AUUGAACGCUGGCGGCAGGCUUAACACAUGCAAGUCGAACGAGUGGCGGACGGGUGAGUAAUGCAUGGGAAUCUGGCUGAUGGAGGGGGAUAACGACGGGAAACUGUCGCUAAUACCGCGUACCAUAGGAUGAGCCCAGGUGGGAUUAGGUAGUUGGUGGGGUAAUGGCACACCAAGGCGACGAUCCCUAGCUGGUCUGAGAGGAUGACCGGCCACACCGGGACUGAGACACGGCCCGGAUUCCUACGGGAGGCAGCAGUGGGGAAUAUUGCGCAAUGGGCGCAGCCCUGACGCAGCCAUGCCGCGUGAAUGAAGAAGGCCUUCGGGUUGUAAAGUUCUUUCGGUGAGGAGGCGUUACUCACAGAAGAAGCACCGGCUAACUCCGUGCCAGCAGCCGCGGUAAUAC
rnacentral:rRNA from 1 species